UUUACAGUUGCCAAUGAUGGAUUUUUGUUAACCUGAAAUACCAUGAUUUAACCUCAACUCUUCGUCACUACCACUGAGGCAUAAU